rnacentral:pre_miRNA from 1 species
GAGACACCCAUAUGGAGCAGGACUUGCUUCAGUGGGACUUUGGUGCUCACUGAGUCUGUCCCUUGAGUGUGUUACU